CCUACGGGAGGCAGCAGUGGGGAAUAUUGCACAAUGGGCGAAAGCCUGAUGCAGCAACGCCGCGUGAAGGAAGAAGGGCUUCGGCUCGUAAACUUCUAUCAACAGGGACGAAAAAAAUGACGGUACUUGAAUAAGAAGCCCCGGCUAACUAUGUGCCAGCAGUCGCGGUAAGACGUAGGGGGCAAGCGUUGUUCGGAAUUACUGGGUGUAAAGGGUGAGUAGGCGGCAUGGUAAGCCAGAUGUGAAAGCCUUGGGCUUAACCCGAGGAUUGCAUUUGGAACUAGCAAGCUAGAGUACAGGAGAGGUAAGCGGAAUUCCUAGUGUAGCGGUGAAAUGCGUAGAUAUUAGGAAGAACACCAGUGGCGAAGGCGGCUUUCUGGACUGAAACUGACGCUGAGGCACGAAAGCGUGGGGAGCAAACAGGAUUAGAUACCCUAGUAGUC
rnacentral:rRNA from 1 species